CGGGGUGUAGCAGUGGUAGCUUACCAGCCUCAUAAGCUGGUGGUCGCAGGUUCGAGUCCUGCCCCCGCAACCA
rnacentral:tRNA from 1 species